GGUCUCUCCAGUGCAGGGCAGAGGAGCAGGAUCACAUCCCUCACCCUGCUGGCCAUGCUGCUUUUGAUGCAGCCCAGGAUAUGGAACUGUGAUGACCUGGACUUCAUUGCUGACAUGCUACUGAACAACGCUUCUGAGAAGCAAUGGAUGAAAGCAAAACAUAUAGUUUCUCCAAUGAAGAAAGCCAUGCAGUUUACAAGCUGAAGUCAUGUAAGGAUCCUGUCUGUUUUUCCUUCAUAUGAACAGCAUCGUGGGAGUCCAUACUCUGCCACCCAUGACU
ensembl:lncRNA